AACAAAGCGCUUUGCCACCAUUACCUUACUUCCACCAUUACCUUACUUUUUUCCAAUCUUUGAGUGGGCGUUUCUCAAUACUGCUGUUUUACAACUUCGAGUUUCCAACGUGCUGCAAAUGACCACGCUAAAAGUUAAUGAAAUAUGGCACAAGUAUAUACAUUAUAUAGGGUUUACCAGAUAGCUUAAUUCCAAGAGCUCGAACAAAACAUGCAUUAGGCCUAAAGCUACAUGACUACAUGAAAACCAUCAAUUUUAUAUGAAGAGUCCAGUCCUUCAACCAUUGUGCAGUGAUGACUCUCAGAUGAAACUUCUCAGGUGUAUUAAGGCACGGUCGUAUCAAGAAACUCUCUUUAUUUUAAUGCCGAUGUUUUACAUGAUUUUUACAUUUUAUAAUUAAUUUGUCAGGUGACUAUCAUGUGACUGAAAUACAAGGUCUUAAAUUUCAAUGCCUUGGGAACUAUCCACAUUCAUUCACUAUUCACUAUUGAAUGUUACACUAUAAAUUGUACCUACCCAGCUAGUGACUAGUAUGCGGUAAGAAAGUAUCCAAAUGUCACCUCUUCUUACCCGUGUCGACUGUACACCGUUCUAGCACGGGCAUCCCUAAAUACUAAGCUACCACCAGGAGAAAUAAAUGGGGUCAAAGGUUAAAUGACGUCAAUGCAAACUAUAUUGGGUUCAAGCAUUUUCUUUUCAAGAUUCACAAGCUCAAAAUUCACAAGCUUCAUCCCAACAUUCAACAUCCCAGCAUUCAACAUCCCAGCAUUCAAUAUUCAUUCAUCUCAACUUAAACGGGUAUAAAAGGGGAGGGGCCCGGCCAACGCGUUUAAUUUUUUCUCUGUGAGCGCUAAGAAAGUCACUUCAUAGCUGCCUUGUACAGCAGGCGUAUAGAUGGCACGUGCGUUGAGUUAAAAAUGGCAACUACUUCUUCGAGAAAGCGUGUCUUGACAUUCAUUUUCUGGACCAAGUGGAGAUUUCCAGCAGAGGCAUCAGAGAGCUAUUGACACCGGACCUCCUCUAGAUAACUUGAGCUUAAUCAACACUCUGUUUGAUUCUGUUGAAAAACACUCCAUCUCUGGCUCUCUCAUCCCCACCCCCCCUGUUAUUAGUGAUUGCUCAGCUGUGAAAUCUUUCAUGAGUAAUAGUGGUAAGUGAACAACGCAUCGUGUACAAAGACAGAAGAUCAGUUGUUCUUCAUCACUGAGAAGCACUGCUUCGACUCUAAGAAAUACACUGUAUAUUUUAUAGAAAGGGUCUUCCAUUGUCGGCAACAGAAACGGACGUGUUCGAGUUCCCGUGUAUUUGCAGGCCAGUGAACAAUAGUAUCUUUGUGUGCGCAGGUGUGCGCAGGUGUGUGCGCAGGAUGGUUCAUGGAUUUACCAUCCCAAUAUACCAACUUCACUCAGUUUUGUCGAUUAGGAAACGUUGGGCAUGGGCACAGUUACAUUCGACAAGUGCUAAUACUUGUAUUUUCCGUAGUGUACCAAAAGCUGGAUAGGGCUGCACAAGCAAGUAUGAUGUCUGCUGUGUAUGAUGUGAUGCAACACCCAGAAUAUAUCGCCAAAGGGGGAGAGUGGGUCACCAAUGCGUACCUGUACCUUGCUUGUCUGGAAGUACCAAGAAGAUACUUGGUAUCACAACUCUUUUCCGGCUCUACUGCUCAGACAAGGGAUGUACCAAGCUUGUUCUCCCUCAAGCUCAAGUGCAAAACAAAACAGAGGCACAGGUGUCCAAAUAUGUGAAUGAAUUGGGGCUCAUAAAUUCGGUACAAAAAAUGUGGCAAAGGAAUUGAGGAAGGUUACCCAAGGCCUAGUUAGGGAGAAGAGCGGAGAACGCACCAAUUGCCACACAACUUCGUCUUGCCACAUGACGAGCUACACCCCCAGCAAAGACAAGCUAACUUGUAGUAAGGCUUUGAUCAAGAUCAUACAUCUACCGAAACGCCCAAUACUUUUGCAGAGUAAGUAUUAUGAUUGUACAUGUACGUACACUAUGUCAGUAUUGUGGUCAUUGUUU